AUUGAACGCUGGCGGAAUGCUUUACACAUGCAAGUCGAACGGCAGCACGGGGGCAGCCCUGGUGGCGAGUGGCGAACGGGUGAGUAAUACAUCGGAACGUGCCCGGUCGUGGGGGAUAACGUAGCGAAAGUUACGCUAAUACCGCAUACGAUCUGAGGAUGAAAGCGGGGGACCUUCGGGCCUCGCGCGAUCGGAGCGGCCGAUGUCAGAUUAGGUAGUUGGUGGGGUAAAGGCCUACCAAGCCGACGAUCUGUAGCUGGUCUGAGAGGACGACCAGCCACUCUGGGACUGAGACACGGCCCAGACUCCUACGGGAGGCAGCAGUGGGGAAUUUUGGACAAUGGGCGCAAGCCUGAUCCAGCCAUUCCGCGUGCAGGACGAAGGCCUUCGGGUUGUAAACUGCUUUUGUACGGAACGAAAAGGCUCUGGCUAAUACCUGGGGCUCAUGGCGGUACCGUAAGAAUAAGCACCGGCUAACUACGUG
rnacentral:rRNA from 1 species